UGGCUAGGUCAGUCCCUUGUUAAAUCCACCGAAUUAAUCGUUGGAUUGCGGGGGAUACUGCUUGGCUAGGGGACGAGAGAGGCAGACGGUAUUUUCGGGGUAGGGGUGAAAUCCUAUAAUCCCGGGAAGACCACCAGUGGCGAAGGCUGUCUGCUAGAACGCGCCCGACGGUGAGGGAUGAAAGCUGGGGGAGCGAACCGGAUUAGAUACCCGGGUAGUCCCAGCUGUAAACGAUGCAGACUAGGUGUUUGGACGGCCACGUGCCGUUCUAGUGCCGCAGGGAAGCUGUUAAGUCUGCCGCCUGGGGAGUACGAUCGCAAGAUUGAAACUUAAAGGAAUUGGCGGGGGAGCACCACAAGGGGUGAAGCUUGCGGUUUAAUUGGAGUCAACGCCGGAAAUCUCACCGGGAGCGACAGCAGUAUGAAGGCCAGAUUAAAGGUCUUGCCAGACGAGCUGAGAGGAGGUGCAUGGCCGUCGCCAGUUCGUGCCGUGAGGUGUCUUGUUAAGUCAGGCAACGAUCGAGACCCGCGUCCUCUGUUGCAACCAGCUUUGAGCUGGGCACACUGAGGAGACCGCCACUGAUAAAGUGGAGGAAGGAGCGGGCCACGGCAGGUCCGUAU
rnacentral:rRNA from 1 species